UACGGGGGGGGUAAGCGUUGUUCGGAAUUACUGGGCGUAAAGGGCUCGUAGGCGGCCAACUAAGUCAUACGUGAAAUCCCUCAGCUUAACUGGGGAACUGCGUGUGAUACUGGAUGGCUUGGAUUUGGGAGAGGGAUGCGGAAUUCCAGGUGUAGCGGUGAAAUGCGUAGAUAUCGAGAGGAACACCUGCGGCGAAGGCGGGUUGCUGGGCUGACACUGACGCUGAGGCGCGAAAGCUAGGGGAGCGAACGGG
rnacentral:rRNA from 1 species